UGCUAUAAAAGCACAAACAAAGUAAUGCUGGCGAUAAAAGUGCUUGGAGAGCGACACCAGUAUAUCGUUUGAAAAAAUUAGAGUGAUUUUGCUCAUUGAUUUAUAUAUCAUCAUCGUAUCGAUUAAUGCGGCGGUUGCCAAUUGCAGAACACAUCAAAACUGAACUUGGUAUCUCGUCACGAUGAUGUUGAAAAGUAUGAUGUGCCUUUUAUUAAUCCUACCGCUGGGUUAUACGAAAUGCUGUUAUCCAACACCGAAGUUCUUACUUAACCCAGAAUGUAAUGGUGGGAGGCCUUUACCUAAAGGAAUGUGUUGCGGCAGAGGCCCUUGCAAUUUUUUUUGCUGCAAUUGCAAUGGUGGGUGUGUGGGUGACAGCGAAGAUGUAUUGAAGAUUUGGAGAGAAGUUAUGAGCCAUAAUAAAUUUAAUAAUAUGAUAUAAAUAUUAGACAUUUAUACAUUAAAUAUUAAUCAACAGCACCGCGGAUAAUAAAUAAUUAUCGAUAAUCGACUGUUUAAGUAUUAAAAAUAUUAUAUAGAUUUCAAAAUUAAUCAAUAUUAUUGUGUAAUACAUUUUACGAUUUUUACGUUGAAAAUUUUCAGAAGGGCUGCACUUAUAUUUGAAGACGGCAAAGCUUUAUUUGGAAGCUUCUGAAAUUCGGUUGCGAUUGAGAAGUUGGGUGUUUCGGAGGAGAC